rnacentral:rRNA from 1 species
AGUGAACGCUGGCGGUAGGCCUAACACAUGCAAGUCGAACGGCAGCACAGUAAGAGCUUGCUCUUACGGGUGGCGAGUGGCGGACGGGUGAGGAGUACAUCGGAAUCUACUUUUUCGUGGGGGAUAACGUAGGGAAACUUACGCUAAUACCGCAUACGACCUACGGGUGAAAGCAGGGGAUCUUCGGACCUUGCGCGAUUGAAUGAGCCGAUGUCGGAUUAGCUAGUUGGCGGGGUAAAGGCCCACCAAGGCGACGAUCCGUAGCUGGUCUGAGAGGAUGAUCAGCCACACUGGAACUGAGACACGGUCCAGACUCCUACGGGAGGCAGCAGUGGGGAAUAUUGGACAAUGGGCGCAAGCCUGAUCCAGCCAUACCGCGUGGGUGAAGAAGGCCUUCGGGUUGUAAAGCCCUUUUGUUGGGAAAGAAAAGCAGCAGGUUAAUACCCCGCUGUUCUGACGGUACCUAAAGAAUAAGCACCGGCUAACUUCGUG